AGCUGAAAAAGGAAGUCAGUUUGGUUAGUCAGUGCUUGGGGUGACUGCAUUCAUUAGUAAGCACAUAUUUACAUAAGUUUCAGUGGAAACACAUUUGUUUGUACAAAUACGGAACAGAAUAGGAAUAUGUUUCCAGCAUUCUCACUUGGCAACUCAGAAAAAGACUCAUCCUGCAGACACACAUACAAAUCAACCCUCUUCCUCCCCUCCCCCAGCAUUCAGCAUGGAAAGCUGGCCGCCCUGGUUCUUUACGGCUCAUUUCUAAACGUCAAAUUCACCUCUUACACAGAAUCUUGGAGGUCAUCUGGUUGAACUGAUCCCAAUCAGAAGUGUCUUCCCUGGGAUCCCUGACAGGUGAACUUCCUGAACAAGUUCAAAGGUGGCAUCCUUCCUUCUUAGAAGAUGACCAUUGCUUUUCUGAACAACUGUUACAAUGUUCUUUUCACGUUGAUGCAAAGUCUGGGUCUUUAGAAACUCUUCCUGUCUGUUCUAAUUCUAUCCUCUGGCACCAAACAAAACAAAGCAUUUCCCUCUUGCCCACAAUAGUGCUUCAAACAUUUGCAGGAAGCUCUGUCAUCCAUCCUUUGUUUUUUGCUUCUGGCGAGCACCUCGUUCUGUAAGCAGUCCUUUUAAGAUGCAGUUUCUGCUUCUAUCACUUCCCCAACCCCACUCUGGCAGCCCGGCCUUGACCUGGGACUUGGCCUGGCAUAGAGGCGAGGACACCUCCUCAUCUUGCAAUAUCCUUUUGGAUUUCCUCUGACAGACUGUAAAUACUCAGCCAACAAUUAAAUUCAGAAAGUAAUUAUUUUUGAAUAUAAAUGUAAUUACUAGGAAGUUAUGAAAAUGCAUCUGAUCUGCUGGAUAUGAUGAGUCAGUAGGUUGGGGAGAGCUGUGUCUUCUGAAGUUUUAUGUACUUUAGUCACUGCUCCUCCUUUUCUGCAGAGGUGAAGUCUAUAACCCCAGCUGGCAUUCUGCUAAGGCAGGGUUUCUCAGGCAGGAGUGGGAACAAGCCUGAAAAUCUCCAUCUCCCCAGAGGGGCAGAGUAGAAGUUUGGAAAAGGCUUCCAGAUGACUUUGAUAUGCACAUAUCCCUUUUCUAGAAUUGAGAACCACGGCCUCAAGGACCUCUCUGCGCUUUGGGGAAACAGACCUGAUUUGGUCCUCCUGGGUUCCUGAAAAGAAGUCCUCUUUACAGCCCCAGUUCUCUGGGAAUUAACUGGAUUCACUCAGCACGGGUAUGAGCGUGCAUGUGUGAGUGUGUGCUGAGACAGACUUCAGUGAACUCACGGCACGCCAUGAAAGAUUGCCUAUGUGAGGUAGGUAUACAGUGCUAUUAUUGUCUCCACAUUGCAGAUGAGGAAAUGGUGGCUUGAAGGAGUUAAGCAGCUUGUUCAAACUGACUCCAUAAGGGGAGCCGAAAUCCAGACGCCUGCUCUCCCAGCUCCAGCACCAGCACGGUCAGCACCACCCCUUCCUGCUCUCAGCAAUCCUGAGAAGACAAUUAGCUGUCCCGUGAAGCCCUUGCCUGCCACCAGCGCCAUCUGAAUCAUGCUUUGCCUGAGGCUGUCCCAUCCGAACAAAACAGGAACAUAAAUAUUCAUGACAGGAUAAAAGGAGCAGGCCAGGCUGUUUAAAAUCAUGCGUGCAGAGCACACUUUGCAAAGGCAAUUCAGCUCGCGAGCCUCUGUGCCACGCUGAUGAAGUUCUGAUGCUUGGCGGACCUAUGGCAUUCCGUGGUCAUCUGAUUUCCAAGAGGGAAGCUGAUCCCUCGCCAUUGUUCCACGUGCUGUCAUGUCCCGAAGCUGGAGUUUCACCCAGAGACAGGCCAACAGACACUUCUGACCAUAGACAAUGCAUCUGCAGCCUUCUCUUCAGAACAAAACCACCAGCUUCCCUGACCUAGGUUAUCCAAAGGGCUCUUUCUCCACUUUGAAAGAGUCUAUGUCUCCUCCAGGCAUCUCACCGCCUGCCGUCAAGGCGCCAGCGCCAGCGCCAGAGUCAAGGCACUCUGGUGCAACCAGCCUCCCUGGUGCUCUUUGCUUCCCGUUCACAAAGCAUAAAACACACAUGGAACAGCCCAUUCUGUGGGCUCUUCCUUCUCGUACGUAACACAGGUGCAUUGAACAUCCACAUGUGUUAUAAAGCAGGAUUCAGAAACCUGAGUCUCUGUUGCCACAAGCCUCCACUUCUCAGCCUUGUAAAUGUGGAUGAGAUGUUUCCAUUGCUGAGAGUCAGUUUCCCUCUCCAUAAAAUGAGCGGUUAUAGUCAUAUCUGUGAGAGCAUUUUAAAAACUCUAAAGGCCCCUACAUGUAGGUAAGCAAAAAUUAUAUUAAAUCCACAAAGGGUCAGUAGCUCCAAUUGCAGCAGCACUCACCAGUCAAGGAGGCUGUAAGCAAACCAAAUCAGAUUGGGGUAAAGUCCCAGAACCCCUGGGCCAGCCUUCCAGGUCCCUGGAGGAGGCAGCAAGACAGAGGAGUAGGGUCGCUGCUAGGUACCCCAUGUUGCAGGCUCUCCUGUAGCAUGCAUUGCAUCCCUUCUGCAGAUGAUUUCAAUGCUGGUGCACACAAUGUUUUUAAAACUGCAACCACUACCUCUUUGUGACCAGAUUCUACAGCAUAGCUGACUCUUUCUGACUGAAAACACAAAGUUGAAGGAGUUAUAAAAUCUAGGCCGGGCGCGGUGGCUCAUGCCUGUAAUCCCAGCAUUUUAGGAGGCCGAGGUGGGUGGAUCACCUGAGGUCAGGAGUUUGAAUCUAGCCUGGGCAACACGGCGAAACCCUCUCUCUACUAAAAAUACAAAAAUUAGCGGGUUGUGAUGGCAGGCACCUGUAAUCCCAGCUACUAGGGAGACUGAGGCAGGAGAAUUGCUUGAAACCAGGAGGCAGAGGUUGCAGUGAGCCGAGAUUGCGCCACUGCACUCCAGCCUGGGUGGCAGAACGAGACACUAUCUAAAAAAAAAAAAAAAAAAAGAAGAAGUCUGAUAUGCAAUGAACACGUGAUGUUUAAGAGGACAUGCAUGUUUGCUCCUUGUCUACCAAGAGUAUUCGGUUAGUCAUUACACAUGUAUGAUUUUAAUGAUUUUAUCUCAAGAAAUGAAGCAGUAAUGAAAAGGACAUUUAUCUUUUCUUUAGAGUCUUCUUUCCUCUCCAGGCUCUGGAAGCCCCACAGUCAACCUGCGUAGUCUACCUGUGCUACACACCCUCUGCAACCCAGCACUGCCAUAUCAAAAAUAAACAUUCCGGCUUCCACAAAACGGCUUUGCCCUGCUGAGCGGACCUGAUGGGGCAUUUUCAACAUGCUUAUCAAGGUAUCAAGAUUGGACGGCUGGGACGAGGCCAGAUAAUGACAGAACUUUCCCUCAGAAAAUGUCUUAAAUGUCAUGGAGCGGUUAUUGAAGGCCGUGAUGGGUUGGAUUAAUAUGGACUUGUUUGCACUUGGAAGGAUUACUGAGGCAGUGUGUAAAUGAUGGGUUUACGGGAAUGAAAACAUCAGAAAGAUCUGUUAGGAAGCUACUUAAAUAACCCAGCACAGGAGAGAUGACAGUUUAAACCAAGAGAAGUCGGCUGGAGAUGGAAGAGUAGAUUUGAUGGCUACUUAGGGAAAAGCAAUUGAUGGGACCUGCAGCUUGGUUAGAUGUUGAGGGGAAAGAAGAGAGAAACCUCUGAGGCUUCUGCAUUAGGUAAAUGGGGGAAGGCGGUGAGGUUAUCCAUAAGAGGGAAAAUGCAUGGAAAGCCAGUUUAUGGAGCAGGAGGACGUGUUCCGUUUUGACAUGCUUGACUCGAAGUGUUUUGGAGACACCCAAGAAGGGGACCCAGUGAGCGUUAGGGGAGGGUCUGUCAUGCCCAGAAGAGAGUUAUUAGCUCUCAGGUGGCAGCAGAAGCCAGGGGGUUGAACCAAAUCACACAGAAAGAUUGGAUGCUGUGAGAAAAUAAGGCCACAGAUGAAGUCAUAAUGAAUCCCAACAUUUUAUGACAUGGACCCAGGAACAGAAGACCGCAAAGUGGGCUGGGAUCUGUGAGCCCAGAAAAGCAACGUUCCACCAAAGUCAAGGGAGGCUGGAAUGUCAAAUUGGAGGUGUCUAGGAGUGUCAAAUAUUGCAGAAGGUGUUAAAAAGGACCGAAAAGUGUCUGCUGAGAUUUGCUAUCCAGAAGGUAAUUAAAACUUGAUGACAGUACUUCCAGUUGAGAAUUAAUUGCCUCCAAGUGUUAUUCACAAAGAUUCUGUGAGGCUGGAUGGGCGGUGGCCAUUCGUAAGGCUCAUCUUUUAAAGAAGUUUAACAUUGAAAUUCUACAUAUCUCUGUUUCAUAGAAAUAUGUAUAUAUGUAUAAAAUCUCUAGUAACAUCUUCGUUUUCUAGCCAAGUUAUGUUUCAGUUCAAUAUUAUUAAGAUGUUAUUUGUUUUUUACUUCCCUCCAAAUUGAAGUGUGGUUAAAAUUGGUGUGACGCAUGUCAAGCUAGUGCCGAUCACGUUUAGGAAUUAGGCUCAGCUCUAAAUGAGUAAUGCUAAUGUUUGUUGAAAUCUUGAAGCCCUGACUUUCUGUUCAGAAGAAGAGCAGUGAACUCCAUCUCCUCUUUAACUGUUUGGGCCACUGCUAGGGCCCUGCAGCCAGCAAUCCCACAGUCUCUCCUGCUGGAUUAAGUGGCGAUGCCUGACACGGCCUGGUAUUUGGGGUGGGGAGGUAGGAAAUAAUAAGGAGUGAUUUCAUUUGUUUCUACAAAUUACAGCUGGUGUGCUGAGUCCUUCCUUGGGGCCUUGUGUCAAGGGCUCGGGACCCUGCUGGGGCAGGGGAGGCAGCUCCUGCUCAAUUGCUAUCAGUGAUGAGUGUGACAUGUGCAAUGUACAAGUCCCCUAAAUGUUUACAUGCCAUGAUGAGGCAUUUAAAUAGGUAAAAAAUUAAAAUCUAUACUUUUUCUGUCUUUAAAGCACAGCUCAAAAUGGCCUCUGCAGAAUAAAUGGAAUGAGCUAGGUGUGGAACUCCAGGCACAGCGGUCAAUUAAGGGCUGUUCAUUAACAUUUCAAGCACUGCAGAUAGGUGGGUCUUAGCAGCUGGAGUUAAGUAGUGUGUUCUGAUAGAUAUUCCUAUUGUGAAUUCUUCAUUGGUUACUAUAAUCUUUACGGAAGCCUAAACCACUUCUCAAAUAACUUCACCUUACAUUGUUCCAAAAAGAAAGAAAAGCUAUCUAUUCGAAGCUAGUUUAAAGAACAAUUAUUUGCCUGUGACCUGCCCUGGGAGUGUGCCUCUAUGCUCAGCUCACGUGCAUUUGCAGACACAUGCCCACAGGCUGCCAGGAUCUGAAAUCCACAAAUGGGUCCUUAAGUCAUAACUGACGACAAAUGUGUAACCAGAUUAAAAUCUCGCGACAUUUCUUAAACUGCUUUUACUGUAGCUCUGGAAACGUUGGUUUCAAAAAUCAGUCGUGUCACUGUCACUCUUGGAAUUCGAGAGCCCAGAGUCUAAAAGCCAGAAAGGUUGUUCAGAGCUUGGUCUCUGGCCUCUAGAGCUUUCCCAACAUGGGAUGGGCACACGCCUCAGGCACAGAUGACUUCACUCCCCAAAGACUGAACCAGAGAACUCCAAGGUUCAACUGAUCAUCUGCCUUAUUUUAUCCAUUAGUCUACUUUCAUUUGUUAGAAGAGACACAGUUUCUUUUUAUCUCUGUCUUCUCCUGACUAAUUCUAUUAGAUCAGCCCUCAAAUACAUCAUGUGAUUUGUACAGGGAUAUCAUUUUUAUUCUUUUUUUUUUCGGUCCCCUUUCACGUACCUCUAAUCAUUUUUAUCCUUGAAUGGCAUAAGUCAAACUUUUG
rnacentral:lncRNA from 1 species